rnacentral:rRNA from 1 species
UACGUAGGGGGCGAGCGUUGUCCGGAUUUAUUGGGCGUAAAGAGCGUGUAGGCGGUUCGGUAAGUCUGUCGUGAAAUCCUGAGGCUCAACCUCGGGCGUGCGAUGGAUACUGCCGGGCUAGAGGGUGGUAGAGGCGAGUGGAAUUCCCGGUGUAGCGGUGAAAUGCGCAGAUAUCGGGAGGAACACCUGCGGCGAAGGCGGGUAGCUGGGCCGACACUGACGCUGAGGCGCGAAAGCCAGGGGAGCGAACGGG